UUUCAGCGGACGAGCACCAGGCAGGCCGCUAUCCUGGGCAUCCUUUUGGGCCUGGGGAUCUGAAUUUUGUCAGUGGAUGGCAGGCCUAUGCAGGGGAAUACGACCGGCGAUACGCCUAGGAUAUGUGUAGGCGUAUUGUGUGCAGCCCAUCCCCAGCAUCUGUGCCCGCGCGUCAUUCGCCUGGACCGAAAUCAAGGCCCAUGACCACUCGUUCGAAACAGCACAGGCCAGAGAAUCUUGUCACGACGGGGCUGCGUGGAAUACACGAGAGCCACGCAGCUGGUCGUCUCCUCCCUCCCAAUCUGCAUCACUUUGGCGAACAUCGGCGACUGUGCUGCUCCGGCAAGAUGUCAAUGGCGUCGAGAUCAACGGGAUUCUAUGAGCGUCCCAAACGCCGCGUUUGGCGCCGCCGGCUGUGCGCGUGCGACCGAAGCGACGGCCGGAGCACUCGUCCUCUUCCACUCCGGCGGCCAAACCACCUGGAUCCCACGUCGUCUUCCACUGCGGCGGCCAGAUCACCUCGAGCUUGCGCAACACCGGAUCUGCAGGGCAGGCGGUCCUCAUCCAUGGAUCUGGCCGGGGGCAAUCAUUUUCUCCAUUGUUUCCGUUGUCAGGAUCCGUGUUGGGAUGGCAAAGCUCAUUCCUGAUGUCCUCCCCGUGGAGUCGUGAGAUUCCAUCAAUAUCGUCGAUUGUCAGUUGGGCCGCCGCGGCGAGGGCACACAGCUGUGCGGGGACGCCGGCUUUGACGUUUGCUCAGAAGCCACUGGUGGCGGGACCAUAAGCAGGCGAUGAUGAAUGGAACGCCCAUGAACAUACGCUAGUAGGCAUUUGAAGUGAAGGAUGUGUGUGUUGGCAACUAGUCCUGGUCCCACCUUUGAUUCGCUUGCUUGUCUGUUUUGUUCAAAAUAUGAUGCAGGGUUAGGAUUAAACCGCCUUAUGAGCAGCAUUUGAAGAGGUCGCGCUUUUGCAAGAUUUGUAGAAUGCAAUGAAACAAAAGCACAACAUCAACAUGUCUUGAUAGAGGAGAUUUGCCGAAGGUGCCAAGGAAAUUGCUGAAAUGUUCGGAUGUGGUGUUCUCGGACACCGCUGAAUUGUGUGUUGUAAGGACACUGGACCAUUUGAGCCUAACUUUUUUUUAGAUGGUUGCUGUUGUUGGUCAAAGAGUUUUCAACUCUCACGAAUUCCUUUCUUAUUUAUGUGCCUUUUCAUGUAAUCGCGAACUGUGUGAUCUGAUUUUACAUUGGACUUGGACCGGUUUGUUGAACACUGCUAGUUGGGUGAAAAAAAUUCAUUGUUGUGAGCCGAUUGCUAUGUUUC